rnacentral:lncRNA from 1 species
AAAUAUAUGUAAAGAAAACUUAUAGGUAUUCUUUAUGUAAUGUAUGCAAUUUAAAUUUUGCCGCGUUAAUUAGUUGAGGUCGCUGGCAGCUUAAACGUCAAGGAGAUGUCAAGUGUGAUUAUUGAGGUUAGAAAUAUUUUGUGUAGGUAGUGUAACAGAUAUUUUAUUGUAAGAAUCUUGCCUGUGAAAUUAUUAAAAUAGACCCGAAAUAAGGGCUUUAAAUGUUGUUUCUUUUGUUCACAGAAACGCAAUUACGUCUUUAUUUCUAAAUAAACAGGCAUAUUGAUAAUUCAUUAUA